GGGGGCGGAUUUGUUUCAAAACUAUUCCCACAAAUGCACCCGUGACUUUGUUCAUUUGUUUUUCGAAAGGAGGUUGCCCAUUGUACUUUAGGUGUGGAUCGCUCAAACAGAUGCAUUGCGAGCGCGGGCACGUUUGGAAAUGGACGGGUUGAAAGUUAAAAUUAGUCAGAUUACUGGGCCAAAGGCCCAGCCGCCAGACUCGGAGGACAUGCGGAAGGGACGCCAACCUGCAUUUGGACACGCAGUAGACAAUCACAAAAGCAGAGGAAAAAGUUGCAAGUUGGAUGGCG